UGAAGCCCCACCAUGAGCAAAUACCUGACUUAAGUGUGUGAGUGUGUGUUCAAGCGGUGCUCUUCAGCGCCCCUGCAGUUCAGUCUCAGAACUGCACCUGUAAGCACACCUAUGACGUCACACGCAAAGAUACACACUUUUGCAGCAGCAGCACAUGCGGUUGGUCUUGCAGCGGGUCAAGGCCAAAAUGAGACGGAGGAGGAUAAACCCUAUUAAAAAUGCGGAGGAGCACGUGUUAAACGCCGUGGACAAAACUUAUGCUCUGGAAACCAAGUUCAUCAGUAAUUAUAAAGGUCGUGGAGUGUUUGCCUUGUCCCCUUUUAAUAAAGGAGAUUUUGUUGUGGAAUACCGAGGCGAAUUGAUUGACUUUAAUGAAGCAGAAAAGAGAAGAGAGGUCACUCAAAGUCCUGUCUUUUUUUUUGACUUCAUUUGGGAAAACAAGAAGUGGUGCAUUGAUGCAACCGAGGAGAACACCACCUUUGGAAGGCUAGUGAAUGACGACCACUUGCACCCAAACUGUACAGUAAAAAAGAUUGUUGUCCAAGGAAACCCCCAUUUGUGCCUUUUUGCAGCGAGAGAUAUUAU